GGGCCCGCACAAGCGGUGGAGCAUGUGGUUUAAUUCGAUGAUACGCGAGGAACCUUACCAGGGCUUAAAUGCAGAACGACAGGGGUGGAAACACCCUCUUCUUCGGACGGUCUGCAAGGUGCUGCAUGGUUGUCGUCAGCUCGUGCUGUGAAGUGUCGGGUUAAGUCCCAUAACGAGCGCAACCCCUAUUUCUAGUUGCCAGCGGUUCGGCCGGGGACUCUAGAAAAACUGCCAGCGUAAGCUGUGAGGAAGGUGGGGAUGACGUCAAAUCAUCACGGCCCUUACGUCCUGGGCUACACACGUGCUACAAUGGUAGGGACAGAGAGUUGCCAACCCGCGAGGGUGAGCUAAUCUUCAAACCCCAUCUCAGUUCGGAUCGGAGUCUGCAACUCGACUCCGUGAAGUUGGAAUCGCUAGUAA
rnacentral:rRNA from 1 species